rnacentral:rRNA from 1 species
AUUGAACGCUGGCGGCAGGCCUAACACAUGCAAGUCGAGCGGAUGAAGGGAGCUUGCUCCUGGAUUCAGCGGCGGACGGGUGAGUAAUGCCUAGGAAUCUGCCUGGUAGUGGGGGAUAACGUCCGGAAACGGGCGCUAAUACCGCAUACGUCCUGAGGGAGAAAGUGGGGGAUCUUCGGACCUCACGCUAUCAGAUGAGCCUAGGUCGGAUUAGCUAGUUGGUGGGGUAAAGGCCUACCAAGGCGACGAUCCGUAACUGGUCUGAGAGGAUGAUCAGUCACACUGGAACUGAGACACGGUCCGGACUCCUACGGGAGGCAGCAGUGGGGAAUAUUGGACAAUGGGCGAAAGCCUGAUCCAGCCAUGCCGCGUGUGUGAAGAAGGUCUUCGGAUUGUAAAGCACUUUAAGUUGGGAGGAAGGGCGGUAAGUUAAUACCUUGCUGUUUUGACGUUACCAACAGAAUAAGCACCGGCUAACUUCGUG